rnacentral:lncRNA from 1 species
GAGCCCUUGUCCGUAUCGCAGUAUGUAGUGACCCCAAAGCUCGACUCUUUGUUACUGGCAGAAAAGUUAUGUCGACAAGAAAAGAAGGGAAUUAAAAUUUGAGGUGGGACGGAUCAUGUAUUUCUAAAGUUAUCACGACUAAAGAGGCAACUCGGUUCGGGUUACGAUGAAAAUUACUAAAACUCAGACACAUCGGUCCAUUCGAGAUAUUGGAUUGUUAUUGGAAUGGAAGAAGAAGAAGCUAAAAGGAAGCUCGUCGGGUG